rnacentral:rRNA from 1 species
ACGAACGCUGGCGGCGUGCUUCACACAUGCAAGUCGAACGGAAAGGCCCUGCUUUUGUGGGGUGCUCGAGUGGCGAACGGGUGGGUAACACGUGAGUAACCUGCCCUUGACUUUGGGAUAACUUCAGGAAACUGGGGCUAAUACCGGAUAGGAGCUCCUGCUGCAUGGUGGGGGUUGGAAAGUUUCGGCGGUUGGGGAUGGACUCGCGGCUUAUCAGCUUGUUGGUGGGGUAGUGGCUUACCAAGGCUUUGACGGGUAGCCGGCCUGAGAGGGUGACCGGCCACAUUGGGACUGAGAUACGGCCCAGACUCCUACGGGAGGCAGCAGUGGGGAAUAUUGCACAAUGGGCGGAAGCCUGAUGCAGCAACGCCGCGUGCGGGAUGACGGCCUUCGGGUUGUAAACCGCUUUCGCCUGUGGCGAAGCGUGAGUGACGGUAAUGGGUAAAGAAGCACCGGCUAACUACGUG